GUNGAGUAGCAUGGCAGACGGGUGAGGAGCGCGUAUCUGACUGGACUCAGGGUGGGGGAUAGGACGGCGAAAGGGGGUUGAAUACCGCAUGUGCUCGGUGCUGUGAGGGCAUCGAGGAAAGUUGGCCUCUGCGGGCACGCUGAUGGCCUGAGACAGGGAUGCGUCCUAUUAGCUAGCUGGUGGGGUAAGGGCCUACCAGGGCGACGAUGGGUAGCUGGUCUGAGAGGAUGAUCAGCCACACUGGGACUGCGACACGGCCCAGACUCCUACGGGAGGCAGCAGUGGGGAAUUUUGCGCAAUGGGCGCAAGCCUGACGCAGCAACGCCGCGUGCAUGACGACGCCUUUCGAGGUGUAAAGUGCUGUCGACCGGGACGAAGGGGCGAGGGUGAACAGCUUUCGCGCAUGACGGUACCGGUGGAGGAAGCCCCGGCUAACUCCGUGCCAGCAGCCGCGGUAAGACGGAGGGGGCGAGCGUUGUUCGGAAUUACUGGGCGUAAAGCGCGCGUAGGCGGUGCAGCAAGUGGUGCGUGAAAGCCCUCGGCUUAACCGGGGACGGGCGUGCCAAACUGUUGGACUGGAGUGCCGGAGGGGGAGGCCGGAAUUCCUGGUGGAGCGGUGAAAUGCGUAGAGAUCAGGA
rnacentral:rRNA from 1 species